UACGGGGGGAGCAAGCGUUGUUCGGAUUUACUGGGCGUAAAGGGCGCGUAGGCGGCCACCGCAAGUCGGUUGUGAAAUCUCUGGGCUUAACCCAGAAAGGUCAACCGAUACUGCGGGGCUAGAGUGCAGAAGGGGCAACUGGAAUUCUCGGUGUAGCGGUGAAAUGCGUAGAUAUCGGGAGGAACACCAGUGGCGAAGGCGGCUAUCUGGGCUGGAACUGACGCUGAGGCGCGAAGGCUAGGGGAGCAAACAGG
rnacentral:rRNA from 1 species